CGGAUUACUGUAUACUGUUUGCCGCUGUUCCGGUUCUAUGAUUUACAGUUCCUGAACCCAUCCAUUUGUGAACUGUACAUGACACUUCAAUGACUUGUAGCUUCGGAACUAUUCUGAAGUGUAGGUGUCACAAAACAAACAAGGUAGCCAAGGAUAUCUGUAAUGCAAAAGUGCGACAGCAAGUCAUCGUCGGUACUCCACUCUUUGUUGGGAAUUUCAUAUGGAUCCAAACCGUUAAUAGUGUCGAUUUUGUCCACAUACCGGUCCCUGGCAUCCCUAUUUAGCGUAUCCUUAUAAAUCCUACAACCUUUCCACGAUUUUAACAUCUUUUUUUCUUUCUCCCAACUCGUUCAACUUGCUGUAUGUUUACAUUAGCAAAGCCAUCAACAUGGCCGCCACAUCCCAGAAUGCAGCGCGGCGCCCAAGCCCUGAAGGCUUACACACAGGUUCGAAGACUCGUUCUUGCCCCCUACAGUGCAAUUCAGUUAGAUAUACAUCCGCGCUAAAAUACCAAGGUGAAAGUCAUCAUAGCUCGCCUAAUAUAGACCCAGCUCUCAACCCAACUUUGAGAAUAGAUUAACUGAGAUUUUUUUUUUUUUUCGCCCGAUAAGUCGAGAAGGGUAUUCCUGCACAACCGGAGGCUGCAGUUACAGGACCGCAAUUCUGUGACCGCAGCUUUAGGACCCUAGUAUUUUUGUGACAGCGCCACCUACUGUACUGAUUCAACACUAAUUAAAGAUGGACGACGUGGACCGCAACCAGACGGUGAGUAUCGAUAUUUAAUUAAGUUUUAUUUUAUAACGUUUAAACAGUGCAAAGUUUACAUAGUGAGAACUACUACCUAUGAAUUAAUAAUUAAUUCCCACCAAAUUAAGAAUUUGUGAGCUAGUUUUAUUAAUUACUACGACGUUAAUUCGUGGCUAUGAUUUCAUAAAUCUUAAUUGUGUUUUAAUGACGAAUUAUUAUAAGUGAAUCUAGCCUGCACAUUAAUUAAACUUACCAGAUGACAAGAGCAUGGUUGAUGUAAGGUUUGUAAGAUUUACCUGCAGCUUAAUGUAUUAGUGUGAAUACUGGCUUAAUAGUCGUUGUUUUACCAUAUUUAUGUCUACUCCACAUACAGUUAUACAUUGCUAUCAUGUGUUAGUUUCUGUCAUGUUUUGCAUGGCCAAUACGAAAUGAUUUUAUGGAUUCAAUUAGGCUCAUUGUAGUACAGAUGAUAAAAAAGGCACUAGGGAUAUUUUCAUAAUCUCAAAAUAUUCUAACAAGUACACUCACUUUUCCAAGAUACAUAUAACAAUCAAAAAGGGAAAUCCCUGCCCGAAUUGAAGAGAUGCACCACAUCCUGCAAGGACUUUUACUUUUCAUAUAUAUAUUCCAGUUGAAUAUGUUAAACAAAUGUUUCUUAUUUAUCUCUCUCUGUCUCUGGCUCUCUCUUUCUCUAGAGUUGAAGCCUACAGCUGUUCUAUCCAUGCAGCAACUGAUGGAAAAGGGGUUCACGUUGGUGCUGUUGUGAUGUUGUCACAAAAAUGACAUGUGUAUAUACUGUAAAGACCAAGAGUUUGGACACACUUUCUCAUUCAAAGAGUUUUCUUUAUUAUAUUUAUUUAUAUAGACAGAAGACUAUUUACAUCAUUAAAUUAAAGUUUAUGGAAACUCGUUUUUCCUCGUCAAUCAUUCUCCAUUCAGUAAGGUUAUUCAAACAGCGCGCGCCUCGUGCAUGGUAAAACGCUCUUCAAUAUAUGAUAUAUUCACAUUAUAAUGCUUGAUCUGUAGAUAAAAGGCUGUGGAUUUGCAUAAGAUGACUUUAUUUUGUGUAUUUGUAUUUUAUGUUUGUUGCUGUUUUUAAACGACUCGCUACCGUUUGUAGUGAUUGAUCACGGACACAUCACAAAGACUAUGAAAAGGCAUCAAACGCACAAUAACUGGAAUUUAAAACUGUGAAGAAACAAAUGAUCAAUAAACUGUUGGACAGAUAUACAUUAGGAUUUGUGCGCUUUGUGCCGUGAACUUUUAAAUGCGCACUUGAGCAGCGCAGCGCUGCACACUCUGACUCCAUGUUAAAGUAAAUAGUCCGCUCCGCGUCCAUAGCAACGCUCUGUUUAUGGCAAUGGUGUGUUCUACUUCGCAGCGGUCUGUUAUUAAGAAAUAACAAACCGCAUUCUACAUUAGGAUUCAACCAAGCCAUGUCAUAAAUGCUAAUAACAUGAUGCAUAAAAUUGGUUUAGUAUUAUACAUUUGCUGUGAUGUUAAAGCAUUUAACAGAACAAUAUAAACCCAGUUUGGCUUCUACACUAAAGGGCUAACAUUAAUUUACUCCUUAUGUCCCCUUUCCAGGGGCACUAUUAAAGUAUAUGCUGCCAGUAAGCAAACCUCCAUCUGUUGGUGAGUAUAAAGGGGCUGUAAAAUGAUAACCUUCUGCAUUUUAAAAAUUAAGUCUAACUUUAUAUAUAAUUAUUUUCUUUAUUUCAUUGCAACUCCAUCAACAACUACUUUUCCUGGUUCACAACACAGUCAUGUCACCCAAGAAGCUGGCGAUGCUGAUUUUUUCAUUAGCAUGCCCAUCAACCUCUACCUCCAGCUCUGGUGUCACCCAAGAAGCUGACAAUGCUGGUCUUUCUCCUGUUGAAGUGGAGAGCAGUACCCCCAUGCCUUCCAUCACACCUUUUAUUCAAUUUUUUGUUUUUUAGCAAAUUACUUUUUUCCAAGGAGAACAUGUAUGCAUGUGCGCGCACACAAAUACACAAGUUUGGAUUUUAAUAGUUCUAUUAAAAUGUUACCUAAUUCUUAUUAUUGGUACUAUUAAUCUUGUUUGUGGUGUUUUAGAUGUUAUUGUUAAUUUUGUUUAUUUGAAAAAUUCAAACAUUUAAAUGUUCUAUUUAUUAUCAUAUAUAAUAUUUUAUUUAAAUGUUAUUCUAUUUGCUCUAUUUCAUUUAAAUUCUAUAUAAAGGCUGUUGUUUGUGCCUCUUAAA